rnacentral:rRNA from 1 species
AUUGAACGCUGGCGGCAGGCCUAACACAUGCAAGUCGAGCGGAUGAAGGGAGCUUGCUCCUGGAUUCAGCGGCGGACGGGUGAGUAAUGCCUAGGAAUCUGCCUGGUAGUGGGGGAUAACGUCCGGAAACGGGCGCUAAUACCGCAUACGUCCUGAGGGAGAAAGUGGGGGAUCUUCGGACCUCACGCUAUCAGAUGAGCCUAGGUCGGAUUAGCUAGUUGGUGGGGUAAAGGCCUACCAAGGCGACGAUCCGUAACUGGUCUGAGAGGAUGAUCAGUCACACUGGAACUGAGACACGGUCCAGACUCCUACGGGAGGCAGCAGUGGGGAAUAUUGGAGAAUGGGCGAAAGCCUGAUCCAGCCAUGCCGCGUGUGUGAAGAAGGUCUUCGGAUUGUAAAGCACUUUAAGUUGGGAGGAAGGGCAGUAAGUUAAUACCUUGCUGUUUUGACGUUACCAACAGAAUAAGCACCGGCUAACUUCGUG